CAGUAGCCACGGUAAUACGUAGGUCCCGAGCGUUGUCCGGAUUUAUUGGGCGUAAAGCGAGCGCAGGCGGUUAGAUAAGUCUGAAGUUAAAGGCUGUGGCUUAACCAUAGUACGCUUUGGAAACUGUUUAACUUGAGUGCAAGAGGGGAGAGUGGAAUUCCAUGUGUAGCGGUGAAACGCGUAGAUAUAUGGAGGAACACCGGUGGCGAAAGCGGCUCUCUGGCUUGUAACUGACGCUGAGGCUCGAAAGCGUGGGGAGCAAACAGGAUUAGAUACCCCAGUAGUCCCUGUCUCUUAUACA
rnacentral:rRNA from 1 species